GGAGGAAUAUUGGUCAAUGGGCGAGAGCCUGAACCAGCCAAGUAGCGUGCAGGACGACGGCCCUAUGGGUUGUAAACUGCUUUUAUAAGGGAAUAAAGUGGGUCUCGUGAGACUUUUUGCAUGUACCUUAUGAAUAAGGACCGGCUAAUUCCGUGCCAGCAGCCGCGGUAAUACGGAAGGUCCGGGCGUUAUCCGGAUUUAUUGGGUUUAAAGGGAGCGUAGGCCGUCGUUUAAGCGUGUUGUGAAAUGCCGCGGCUCAACCGUGGCACUGCAGCGCGAACUGGAUGACUUGAGUUCGCGGGAGGUAGGCGGAAUUC
rnacentral:rRNA from 1 species